UGCUUAAUAUUUGUUUGCUCUGAGUAUUAGAUCAUGGACAUCAGAUUAUCCUGUGUUUUGAUGUUUAGACAUGAAGUCCUUGCCCAUGCCUAUGUCCUGAAUGGUAAUGCCUAGGUUUUCUUCUAGGGUUUUUAUGGUUUUAGGUCUAACAUUUAAGUCUUUAAUCCAUCUUGAAUUGAUCAAUAUGUAGCCUUUUCAGAUUGGUUUCUUUCACCUAGUAAUAAGCAUUUAAUUUUCUUCCAUGUCUUUUCAUGACUUGAUAGCUCAUUUUCUUUAAGUACUGAAUAAUAUUUUAUUGUCUGAAUGUACCACAGUUUUUAUUUAUCCAUUCACCUACUGAAGGACAUCUUGGCUGCUUUAAGUUUGAGCAAUUAUGGUGGGAGCUGGGAGAAGCUGCUACAAAUAUUCAUAUGCAGGUUUUUGGGUGGCCAUAAGUUUUUAACUCCUUUGAAUAAAUAUCAAGGAGCAUGAU
rnacentral:lncRNA from 1 species